rnacentral:rRNA from 1 species
GACGAACGCUGGCGGCGUGCUUAACACAUGCAAGUCGAACGGAAAGGCCCUGCUUUUGUGGGGUGCUCGAGUGGCGAACGGGUGAGUAACACGUGAGUAACCUGCCCUUGACUUUGGGAUAACUUCAGGAAACUGGGGCUAAUACCGGAUAGGAGCUCCUGCUGCAUGGUGGGGGUUGGAAAGUUUCGGCGGUUGGGGAUGGACUCGCGGCUUAUCAGCUUGUUGGUGGGGUAGUGGCUUACCAAGGCUUUGACGGGUAGCCGGCCUGAGAGGGUGACCGGCCAAAUUGGGACUGAGAUACGGACCAGACUGCUACGGGAGGCAGCAGUGGGGAAUAUUGCACAAUGGGAGGAAGCCUGAUGCAGCAACGCCGCGUGCGGGAUGACGGCCUUCGGGUUGUAAACCGCUUUCGCCUGUGACGAAGCGUGAGUGACGGUAAUGGGUAAAGAAGCACCGGCUAACUACGUG